GAAAAACACUCCGUCAGAGUUCUUUCCGGGGUGGGUUAGGUUAAACGAGACACUGGUCUGACUUACAAGAAGGAAAGGGGGUCGGGGAGGAUUCAAGGGAAAAGUAGUGCCCCCCAAAGCUGAACUAUUUGAGAAAGGAAAGCAAAGAAAAAUCACUUUCCUGAGGAUAAAAGGCCGGGAAACCGGCUGGUCGGAGUCACAAAGGUAGCUAUGUUCACUUGCCGGUGGGACGCAACUGACACGGGGAGGCCUGAGCGGCAGCCGAGCAGCGUGGUUCUCUUCCAGACGAGGGGCUCUAAAUGCUUCUCUCGCUCAAGGGAGGAAACAAGUGGGACUUCACAUCUGUGCAACUUCAAAGUAAAGAGCUACCUUGGACAGGAAGAACAUCUACAAAACUAAAUAUUUC
rnacentral:lncRNA from 1 species